GGAGGUCCUCCGAGCAUCAGGCCUCAUUCCGACACAGAAGGAGGGGGUUCUCUCAGCACCUAGCAUCAUUGCUCAGAGGGAGGAGAUGUUCCGAGCAUCAGGCCUCAUCCCGUCACAGAGGGAAGGGAUUCUUCCAGCAUCUUCUAUCACUGCGCAGAAGAAGAAGAUCCUCAGAGCAUCAGGCCUCAUCCUUGCACAAAAGGAGUUGAUCCUCCUGAUGGCCAGUGUCACUGCGCAGAGGAAGGGAAUCGUCCCAAUGGCCAGCGUCCCUGCGCACAGGGAGGGGAUUGUCCCAAAGGCUAGUAUCUCUGCUGAGAGGAAUGGGAUCCUCCAAACAGCUAGUAUACCUGCACAGAGGGAGGGGGUUCUCCCAGCAGCUAGCAUCACUGUGCAGAGGGAGGAGAUCCUCCGAGCAUCAGGUCUCAUCCCGUCACAGAGGGAGGGUAUCCUCCAAACAGCCAGUGUCCCUGCACAGAGGGAGGUUAUCCUCCCAACAGCCAGUGUCCCUGCACAGAGGGAGGGGAUCCUCCAAACAGCCAGUGUCCCUGUACAGACGGAGGGUAUCCUCCAAACAGCCAGUGUCCCUGUACAGAGGGAGGUUAUCCUCCCAACAGCCAGUGUCCCUGCACAGAGGGAGGGGAUCCUCCAAACAGCCAGUGUCCCUGUACAGACGGAGGGGAUCCUCCAAACAGCCAGUGUCCCUGUACAGAGGGAGGGGAUCCUCCAAACAGCCAGUGUCCCUGCACAGAGGGAGGGGAUCCUCCAAACAGCCAGUGUCCCUGUACAGAGGGAGGGUAUCCUCCAAACAGCCAGUGUCCCUGUACAGACGGAGGGUAUCCUCCAAACAGCCAGUGUCCCUGUACAGAGGGAGGGGAUCCUCCAAACAGCCAGUAUACCUGCACAGAGGGAGGGGGUUCUCCCAGCAGCUAGCAUCAUUGCUCAGAGGGAGGAGAUGUUCCGAGCAUCAGGCCUCAUUCCGUCACAGAGGGAAGGGAUUCUUCCAGCAUCUUCUAUCACUGCGCAGAAGAAGAAGAUCCUCAGAGCAUCAGGCCUCAUCCUUGCACAAAAGGAGUUGAUCCUCCUGAUGGCCAGUGUCACUGCGCAGAGGAAGGGAAUCGUCCCAAUGGCCAGCGUCCCUGCGCACAGAGAGGGGAUUGUCCCAAAGGCAAGUGUCUCUGCUGAGAUGGAGGGGAUCUUCCAAACAGCCAGUGUACCUGCACAGAGGGAGGGGGUUCUCCCAGCAGCUAGCAUCACUGUGCAGAGGGAGGAGAUCCUCCGAGCAUCAGGCCUCAUCCCUGCACAGAGGGAGAGGAUCCUCCAAACAGCCAGUGUCACUGCACAGAGGGAGGAGAUCCUCCGAGCAUCAGGCCUCAUCCCUGCACAGACGGAGGGGAUCCUCCAAACAGCCAGUGUCCCUGCACAGAGGGAGGGGAUUCUCUCAGCAGCUAGCAUCACUGCGCAGAGGGAGGAGAUCCUCCGAGCAUCAGGCCUCAUCCCUGCACAGAGGGAGUUGAUCCUCCAGAAGGCCAGCGUCCCUGCGCACAGGGAGUGGAUCGUCCCAAAGGCUAGUGUCCCUGCAGAGAGGCAGGAGAUCUUCCUCACAACCAGUGUCCCUGUGAAGAAUGGACACAAUCAUCCACAACCACCUCCCAUCAUCCCCAUGGUGGCACCACUGUGGAAAUGGGAUGGUGCAGCGUGUACUCCACCUGUGGAUUUCUAUUCCAAGAGAAGAGAUGUCCGACUUAGAUAUGUUGAGCAUCCUGCUAUGAUGUCCAUCACCAAGCCGGAACACUCCGAGGCCACUUCUCAGUGCCAGACUGGCAGCCGGCCGGUGGCUGAGCCCGAGACCCCUGCUGUUCACAAUAACAGUGGAGGCUGGCUCAGCUGGGUUUUUGGGAGGGGAAGAUUUAAUAAGAAGGAGGUUCAUCUACCUGAGGACAAAGACAGAUCUAUUGUCUGGGAUCCAACUCUGCACAGAUGGGUUAACAAAACUGAGCCCAAGGCUGAGAACAAGUGUGUACCACCACCUCCACCGAUGGGGACAUAUGGAUAUCAGGGGAACACUGGCCCCAAAGGAGUGAAUCCUUACUCUAUGAAAGCAGCAGGUCUAUGGGGCAGCAAAUACCCUACAAUACAUUACAAUGAUGGGACCAACUCAAAGCCUCCAAGCCAUGGGCCUGGACUGCUUCCUAGACAGCUCUCUGGCUUGCUCCCUCCUUCACACGUUGACCUCAUGGCACCAAUGGUUGUGCCACCUGACACUCUACCCUACUGAGCGGGACAUCGCCCUCACCUUCGACCAGCUGGAGGACCUGUCCAUUCGGCUGGAUAACCUGCUGGCUACCCAAAGACGUCCAGACCUCUGCGACCAUCUGUGGCCGCAGAGGUCACACUGCCGGUCAGUGCCGGGUUUGUUCCUCUGGGGGUCGAGGCAGCAGGCAGGGCACUCUGGCGUCACCCCAGGCUGGUGGUAGCUGGUCCCCUGCAGGACGGUGAGGUUCCGGAGGUCCCUCCGCCCCCUCUGGACAUCGAGGGGUCCCCGGCGUACACGAUACGGCCCAUUCUGGACUCAAGAUGCCGGGUGAGGGGCCUGCAGUACCUUGUGGGCUGUGAGAGGUACGGGCCGGAGGAGAGGUGCUGGUGGGACCCAGCACAUAUUGGAUCCAUCUAUGCUGAGGGAAUUCCAUCGCCUCCAUUCGGAUCGCCCGGCGCCUCGCCCUCCGGGUCGUCCUCGAGGCCGGUGUCGGCGGGGGGGGGGGGUACUGUCACGAAUAUCACCGAAGGUGGCUCCUCUUCCCGUUCGUGUGGUGCUCGGCGGUCGUCGUCGCCGGUCUACUAGCUGCUACCAAUCCCUUUUUCCCUUUUUGUUUUGUUGGGUCUAAUUGGUUUCACCUGUUCCUUGUUUGGGGUUAUUUAAGUUCAGUUAGCCCGCCUGUGUUCGUGCGGGAUUGUUUUGCUGUAUUUGGUAUAGGAGUGUUUCUGUUAUUUGGAUUGUCCGCUGUACAGCGUAUGUGCCUGUGUAGUGCAUUAUUUUGGAGUGUUUUACGCCUGUGUUCGGUGUCACCCUCUUUGUGCGCGGUUAUUGUAAGGAAUAAAGUGUUUUUUCCCGAA